UGACGGGGACCCGCACAAGCGGUGGAUGAUGUGGUUUAAUUCGAUGCAACGCGAAAAACCUUACCCACCUUUGACAUGUACGGAAGUUGCCAGAGAUGGCUUCGUGCUCGAAAGAGAACCGUAACACAGGUGCUGCAUGGCUGUCGUCAGCUCGUGUCGUGAGAUGUUGGGUUAAGUCCCGCAACGAGCGCAACCCUUGUCAUUAGUUGCUACGAAAGGGCACUCUAAUGAGACUGCCGGUGACAAACCGGAGGAAGGUGGGGAUGACGUCAAGUCCUCAUGGCCCUUAUAGGUGGGGCUACACACGUCAUACAAUGGCCGGUACAAAGGGUUGCCAACCCGCGAGGGGGAGCUAAUCCCACAAAGCCGGUCGUAGUCCGGAUCGCAGUCUGCAACUCGACUGCGUGAAGUCGGAAUCGCUAGUAAUCGUGGAUCAGCAUGUCACGGUGAAUACGUUCCCGGGUCUUGUACACACCGCCCGUCACACCAUGGGAGCGGGUUCUGCCAGAAGUAGUUAGCCUAACCGCAAGGAGGGCGAUUACCACGGCAGGGUUCGUGACUGGGGUGAAGUCGUAACAAGGUAACC
rnacentral:rRNA from 1 species